UUUACUUCUUUGGAAUAAGACAGCCCCCUUGGCCAUUUUUUCCAGGGAAAACUUUCCUGAUCUCCAGGGCUGAUGUGCAAUUCCCUUAGAUAGUCUGGUAGUCAUCCCUGCAGCAGAUACAAGCUAGUUUUAUUCCAUAUUGUUCCCACUGAUUUACCUAUCCCUAUGCCCAUUACACAUCCAUUCUGAAGGCAGACCAUUUUCAGUAGCUUGCAUAGUGCUUGACAUGCUGCAAUGAAAACCUGCACAUGCACGCACGCAAGGAAGUGGAGUACUUGUCAACAGCCACAAUCCUCCUAACCAAACUAUAUGCACUGAACUCAUGAAAUCCUUUCAUUUUGAAAUGCAUGACCUUGGGCUUGACAAGUCCCCUUGCUAAUCCUUGUCUCCUUCAUUUCUGGAAUAAAGCUGGAGAUAGAAUGUUGCUGUGUGAUAAUACAUGAUUGUGUGCACCCAGUGUCAGCAUUGCGCUGCCCAUGGACUGCCCGUGGGCCGACACUCAACGUUAGUUACCAUGCCAUCAGCACUGAUGGCUCCAUCAUGAGCUGUGUGAUAUAUUAAUUUUAGCAUCAUCUGCUAAUAGGUUAAUCAAUCAACCAGGAUACAUGGCCAAAGUAACUAUACUCUAUUUGAGCUUGAUAUCAACUCUGAGUUUAAAACAAUGUGAGCAGGUGUUUUUUUUAUAGAGCUGGUGUUGAUAUACUAUUAGCAUGUUCCGGAUGUGACCAAUUGAGAUGAGGGGUGUCAUCUCUGGACGAGGGAAUCUGUUGAGUGGUAAAUUGUAGUCAAGACAACUUGGACUGCACUUUGAAGAACUCCUUUGAUAAGAGGGGGCAGCAGUGAAUGAGUUGACUUCAAAAUGUUCAUGGAAAAGGAAAUUCUGUAAAAAGUGAAGCAUGUGCAAAAAUGUGCAGUUUUUCUAAAGUGCACAUUCUCCAUGAACUUUUUGAGUACUCCUCACAAGCACGGGCUUCAGAAAUGUUGGCAACAACAACAAAAAGUUCGCGAACUUCUUGAAGACUCUUCCUUACAGGAAUGAUCUGCAGCCCACUGUGCGGUUACCAAUUCACAGUGAAUUUGCACACUUUUGUAGGAGCCGAGAUCUGUGAGUUAACUCCAAGAUCGUCUCUCCUAUACAUUAUGGGAUCAAAAUUUAAAAUCUGCAAAGGAGAGGGCUUCAACUGCAUUCCAUUGUAGGAAAACCAAGUAGUAGGUGUGUCUUUCCAUCCCUCAAUCAGUUUGCAGUGACAUUUGGACCGCUUUGCUUUCCUUUCUCUUCUUUUAUGCUAAAUUUCCAAAGUAUAAUGUGCUAUAUAGAUAGCUAGAUAGAGAUCUUUCAAUCGAGAACCAAUUUCCAACAGCAAUACCACCUGUGAACAGCAGCCUUUUGAUGAACAGAUCAAGUUCUGGAGACUGUAUUAAGAAGUGAACACUAACAUACUUUCAUUGAGAAGUCAGGGCUUUCCCAUGUCCUACCUACUCUGCGGUGAAAUGAAGGUCUUCCAAGUGAGGCAGUGAUGAACACUGCGGAUGUGGGCAAGUCAUCUUUCAUUGCUGUGUUAUUUUGCUUAGAGCUCCAACCGCAACAUUAUGUCUUAAAACUUGUCAAAUUGUGCACAGUACACUGACUUCCGAGGAGAAUAAUGGCUUCUCCAAAAAAUAUUUAAAAAAUCAGACAUUUCUGGUGGAAGGAGGCAUUAUACCUCAAAACCCCUGCAGAUAAAUGAUAAUUAAGAAUGACAUUUACUCAACAGAGUGGGCAGGAAACAACAUUGUAUAUCAGCUAUGUGUUUAAUGGUUGCAGUUUCAUGCCUCUAAACACAACUAGUAAAAGGCCAGGCCAACAGCCUUUAGGAGGUUAGUAUAGAUUUUAUCUUGGGAAGGCAACUCUAAAGAUGUAUCUUUCUGUUUCCUGAGAACUUUUUUUUUGCAAAUAAGAACAAAAUAGUUUCCUAGUUGUGGGAAAAUAUUACAGAAACAGCUGUCUUCCCUUUGGGAGAUAUAGAACAAAAUCAACAGGAGUUGCACAUUGAUUGUACACAUGGAGUGUGUUCCCUGCAGCACAGAAUUUUUUGAGACCCAAGAAGGCUGCUGCUGCCUCAUCUCAUGUUACAGAGAAGGGUUUGUCUGUGCUUAUAGAACAGAGUUGUGCGGGGAGGUAGGCUGGGAGUUAUCCAGGGAGGGACACUGAAGGAGGGACUUACAAGCUCAGAGCUCCUUACUGACCUCACCACUACUAAUCUUGGCCUUGCUCUGAAACCCUGCAACUGACUGGUCAUUUCAUGGACGAGGUAUCAGCAGGUGUAGUGAUUUCUCCAAGAUCUCACAGCCCAUUAAUGGCAGAUCCAAUGCCAAGAAGGGGAAACUGCUGAUUGUAAAGAUAACCAAAAUAAAUGAUGACAUUUCCUCUAUGCAACAUCUGGAUCAUGGGGGAGGCAUGGAGAAUCAUCAGAACUCUAUCAUAAGAUUAUUGGUUAUCAGGCUUCUUUAUGGAUUGGAAGACAUUUUGACAGUAUUGGAAAACCCCUUCUGGUGACUGAUCCGUUAUAGGAUUGAGUGCCCCAUGGAGUACACAGACCUCCUGGGAUGGAAGGAAGGGAUAUGCAUUGCAACCUAUAUGGGUUUGCUGGCCCCAGGCUGCAUUGUCCCCAUGAAUAAUCUCUGAUCAGAGAAUAGUAAUUAAGACGUGGCAAUGCCCACUUAGUAAAUUAGCUAAAUUGGCAAAACUCAAUUUAAACAGCAAUUUUAUCUCCAGUGAUAAAAUUAUAACAGCACCCUUCACUUAAUGAGCCAGACACUUAAUAAUUCAAACAUCCUUAGAGAAAAAAAAAUCAAACCACACCUCUCCAUCACAAGUGGGUUUCCCACAGCUCUGCUGCUGCUGCUCUUCCACAGGUACUCCAAGGCUCUGUGGGAUCGGCAUGAUCUCUGGUGAACAGAGGAAGAGGUGAGAUGUCCUUUCUAACAAGCUUUGUACACAGCCAUGUCCACUUGUUUACCAACUGCAGCUGCUAUCAUGCUACAGUGAAAGGAAGAGCUGUUGUGAGUGCAGGAACCUUAUGGUCCUCACAACCUAUGUAUUUAUGGUCUGGCUCUUUAAGAGUCAUGGAUGUGGCAAAGAGUGCUGCACCUGAGAUUUGGAUGGCACCCUGGAUCCAUCACCCCCUGACUGUGUGGUCUUGAAUGGAUACUUCCCACUUCCCUGACCUGUGGUUUCCUUAAAUGUGCAAUGGAGAUCAGCUAGAGUCUGUCUGCUGACAAGGUGAAAAUUCUCGGAGUGGAGCCAUGUUUAUCUGUUCAUGGCAAGACAGAGCUGAUAAUACUGAUAACAAUAAUGAUGGACAGAAUGUGUGGUUGUAUACUUAGCAUGGACCUAUCCUGACCUCCUUAUAUGCAUCCAAUCAUGUAAUACCCACAGCAACCCAAUGAGAUAGGUAUUAUAAUUUUCUAUUUUUGCAAUUAGAGAGAAGAGUCUUUAUCAUUCCCUAUCCCUUUUUUAAAAAACUCUUACUUAUUCACCUUCGUUCUGUAAUAAUUCUGCCCGGUAGCAUCUCUUCUACUGGAUGGAAACUGUCCAAGGGCGACAUUCUGAUGUGCCUUAGUACACCCUGCAGGCGUUGGAGCAGUGACAGCUACCCCACUUGGUCACCAAUCUCAAUGAGAUCGAAUGUUCCUUCUCUCUCGCAGAUAGUGAGUCUCGCUGUCUCCAUUCUGCCAGCUGUUUCUCACUUCUCUGCUUUCAUAUCUUCUCCUGCCCUUGAUGGUAUAAUGGGGAAAGAGCAGACCAUGGACUUAACCUUUACGUGUAGCAAGAGUAAACACUCAGCAGAUGAAAAUCUUUAGACUCUGGGAGCUGUGAAGUUUUACAACAGAUACAGCCAU